CCUACGGGAGGCAGCAGUAGGGAAUCUUCCACAAUGGGCGAACGCCUGAUGGAGCAACGCCGCGUGGGUGAAGAAGGUCUUCGGAUCGUAAAACCCUGUUGUUAGAGAAGAAAGUGCGUGAGAGUAACUGUUCACGUUUCGACGGUAUCUAACCAGAAAGCCACGGCUAACCACGUGCCAGCAGCCGCGGUAAUACGUAGGUGGCAAGCUGUAGCCGGACUUAGUGGGCGGAACGGGAACGCAGGCGGUCUUUUAAGUCUGAUGGGAAAGCCUUCGGCCUAACCGGAGUAGUGCAUUGGAAACUGGGAGACUUGAGUGCAGAAGAGGAGAGUGGAAGUCCAUGUGUAGCGGGGAAAUGCGUAGUUAUAUGGAAG
rnacentral:rRNA from 1 species